AGUAAGUUGGUUUCAUAAAAGUGCAGAGUUAUGUACAAAUUAACUGCUUUUUGAAGUGUAACGCGUGCAUAUAUAAUAAACGACGAAACGACGUAUACCGAACGAGCACCAAUUUACAUCGGAGUCGACUGUGGUAAUCGGAGGCGUUUAUAACCAAUACCGUCUUGUCGUUUGGUAACGCAGUGAAAGCGGUAUAAACGUUUUGCGGUGCAGGAGGUGAACACGGCCGUAAAGUGCAUAAUCGUCUAUCAACAUCGAGGUGCAUCGUGCGAGUCAGUGCAUUGACCUUUUUGAUUGUGACGACAUUGACGGCGAACUGGUGCAGUAUUUUGCAGUGAUUGAAUAUCGCCGUUAUAUUUACGUUGCCGUUGGAUUUCCUGGUGCUGCUGUUGUUGCUGGUGCCUGCUCUGCUAAUUGCAUUUUAUUGCUUGUGUGUUUGGAAGCUGUGCUGUUGGAUUUUGCUGCUGUUGUUGUUGUUGCUGAGCGGUGGCCGUCGUAUUUUGGCCGCUUUUAAGACCUUUUCGUGGUGAGUUUUUGAUUGCUCACGGUCUCAGCAGUUUGAAAUAAACAGGAUGUCUCUGACAACGACCACCGAACCUUACAUGCCGGGAACGAUCCCUUUCUCCCAAUAUUUAGAACAAUUGGAAUUUCUAUUUGAACACAAUAAUUAUACUGCAGAUAAAUAUAAAAUUUCCUUUCUUGCCGUAUGCGGCGUAGAGGUUUAUAGUCAGAUCAAGCUUCUUUUUCCGGGUCAGAACGUCAAGGACCUCACUUAUAAACAAAUAACUGACGAACUUAAAAAGAGAUAUGACAAAAAAGACUCUGACGUCAUACAUACAUACAAAUUCUGGACUCGUAGACAAGGCCAGUACGAGAAAUCUGAAGAUUUCGUACUUGCUGUGAAGCAAUUGGCUGAACUGUGCAAUUUUGGGAACUUCAAAGAAAGAGCAAUUCGGGAUGCAUUAGUCAUAGGGACUUACGAUCGGAGCUUGCAAAAAAAAUUAUUUGAUGAGGAUGAUUUAACGGCUUCCAAAGCCGAGAGGUUAAUUGUAAACCAGGAACUGUCAUCCGAUCGGACCCGUUUUGUAAAUCGCGACGACGAAAGUAGAGUUAGCGUGGUUGCCAGAUUAGGUAGAAGAGAAGAACGUGGCCCUCAUAAACAAUUCUACCGGAGCAGGAGUAGGAGUUUUGACCGAAACCGAAAUCAAUCAUUUUAUUCAGGCAGAGGCGAAGGUAGAGGAAAC